ACUAAGCCGUUUUUUAUCGGCUCCAGCCGAGCCGGAUGGUGGAAAUCAUGUUUUCGUCCUUAUUUUGUGAUAAGGACGACACCCACGUCAUUUCCUCGACUCUUCCAGACUAUCAUCACCAGCUGCAGUCCCUCUUUCGCUCUCCCAAAGCUGAACGAUACAGUCAAUUCAAUCAUCCCAAAAUCUUUUUCAGAUCCAUCAAUUGUAUCUUACCAAAACAAAAAAGAAAAAAUUAACUCUAUCCAAAUCUCUGUCCUCAAGGAAAAAAAGGGUGCAAACUGGUCGUCCUGCUGUCGGUUUUGCUCUUAGAUGGAGACGCACCGUCAAACGCAGUUUCAGGGGCAACGACAGCUUUGCUUCGGAAUCUUGAUCAUCGCAUGUCAAGCUAUUCAUCUGUUAUACGAAAGUCCAAGAUAUAGGAUGCAGAGGAAUGCUUGGAACUGUUUUCUAUGGACAGGGCGACUAAAUUUAAUUAAAUGACCCUUGCCAAUGUGAACAACUUCAAGAGGCUCUUAAAAGAGGAGGAAGAGGAUAAUAACUAUGAAGUAGACCUUCAAGUUACCUCAAAAAGAUGCGAGUUUGAUGAAGAUGAUUCAAGCUCAUCUGUGAAGAACAUUCUUCUUCUAGACUCUGAAGGGAAGCAUGUUACUCUCAUAAUUGGCCAACAAUUGCUGCAAAUCUAGCUUGAACAAUCUGUGUUCACUAAGACUCUAAUGACAAAUGCAUGGAUAGAAGCAGAGGUUAUGAUGUUCGUGUGCAACGUUGUUAUAUAUAAGUUUGUUCAGGACCUUCACUUCUUUGUGACCGGAGGUGAUGAUGAAAAUGAACUCAUUUAGCCACUGUACUUCAGGGAUUCUUUGAUGAGUUCCCCUUCUCUUGAGUUAGAGUUGGUCAUAACUCUUGCCUCUAGCUCUUUUUUACUUUCCUUAUUUAUUUUUUGAUAUAUACUUUAUGCUUUGAUGAGAUCGUUGAUGGAGGGUAUUUUAAUUUUCUUUUCAUUGUUUUAGUGUUUGAACAAGAUGUAGUACUGAGAAAGAUGAAAACCAUGUUAUUAUCUUAUUUAUGUUUGAUGAAUUCUUGAUAUAACCAACGCUUACAAAUCAAUAUAGAUGUGUCCUCCUCUACCUGUUUAUGUAUGUUUUCAUAAUCAGAUUUCUAGAUGUCAAUAUUUCUUACAGUUGUAGCAUUUUGUCUAUUGCAUAUUCCAUCGUCAUGAAACAUCAGAACUUGGAUUUUUGCCAACUGCAAAUUGGUCACUAAUAGAAAUAAUCAAAUGAGUUAUUUGACCUAUAACAUGAUAUCUAAAAAGAAGAUGAUCCAAUCAGCUAGGAAUAAUAAGAAAUACUGCGGACUCUUAUGAGGAUAGUCCAAAUAGUGGCACAAUGGAUGUUAACAUGGGUAGCCUCGGUGUUAUCACAGAUCCAUUUCACAUGGAUAGUUUUUAGCACUUUAGUUUUUUAAUUACACUGUUUAUCUACUUUUUACAGCUCUUUACAAUGAUGUUCUGUACUUUUCACAGCUCUUUCCAAUGAUUAUCUGCUGUUUGGAUUAUACCUCUUUGGAAUCACUAUUUGCUUUUUAUAUCAGAUCUGUAUUUGAUCUGCAACAUCUACUGUCUCCUUUUAAUCUUGGUGAUUAAACUAGACUAAUUGCUUUUCAAUAUAUAUCUUCUCCAUUUUUCUCACAUUCACUGAAGCUAUAGAUAGAUAGUUAUUGUCAAUUUGUGGUUCAAUUGAUAAAUUCUUUUCAAGUGUUCAGAUUUGUCAUCUAUCAAUCUGUCAGCCAGAGUUUCAAAUUGAAUUGAAGUUUGCAUAGGCUUUAGAAUUUCAUCAUCCACUGUUGAGCUUGAACCAGACCAAGCAUUACCCAUGUGACUACGUUCAUCAUCUUGGCUGGAAGGUUGAAAGACGGCGGGUUAUCUUUUUGAAGUGGAUUUCUUCUGGCUUACUUUUGAUCACUGCUACAGCUUGAUUGAUUGUUAUAAAUUGCAGACCACGAUCCAGUUAGAAAUCUGGAAUAGUGGGUUUCAUACCUUGGUUUUGGAUAAGGAAUGUCGAAGUACAAAGAGCCAAUGGAACAGAUGAGUUUUGCAGGCAAUGGAAGUCUCACUUUAUAUAUAGAGACUAAAGCCAAAGCAGCAACCAAGGCCUAUCCAUUUCCAGUGUUAUCACAGGAAUAUGGCUUUUUCCCCCGCAGCAUCGCGCGGGCUACUUUCCUAGUAUAAAUUAAAAAGAAGAUAGUAAAGGCAAAUUUGGGCCUAAUUGACUGUUUCGAGUCGAAGUCGGUUUGGGCCUGAAACCGUCGUGUGGGUCCCCAGUUUCGUCAUGCAGAGCAGAGCACCUCUAACUCGGGGGAAAACCUCCACCGCGCCGCCCAAUCACCUGUGACCAGAACAACACGGGGAAGAGUCUACUAUAUGCGAAUAGGCCGUCGCAGCAACCAUCGACCCGAUCCAGAUCCAUGCCUCUAAACAAUCCAAGACCAUUAGCAAAAGACAUCGCCAGAGGAACAACAACCUCCUACUUCGAAGCUCUAGCCCCUGACCCGACUAGAGCAGAAGUCCAGAAUUCUAGCCCCAGCAAAAUUCGCAACCAAUAACGCCAUCUCCACACACCGAUGUUCACCAAAGAACCAAUCAAACACCAUGAUCGUUGAAACAAAACUAAGAAAAGAAACAAACUUGCCAGAACCCCGAAAUAGGACCCCCAAGUAUAUGAGGGAAGAACCCGAUACAC